AACAAGGCGUACCUGCGGACCUGCGGAGGGAUCAUUACCGAGUUUACAAACUCCCAACCCUUUGUGAACCUUACCAUAUUGUUGCUUCGGCGGGACCGCCCCGGCGCCUUCGGGCCCGGAACCAGGCGCCCGCCGGAGGCCCCAAACUCUUAUGUCUUUAGUGGUUUUCUCCUCUGAGUGACACAUAAACAAAUAAAUAAAAACUUUUAACAACGGAUCU
rnacentral:misc_RNA from 1 species